AGAUGCACACGGCUGGUAACAGAGCAACCGGGACCAAGGGACAACAAGAGCUCAGGAGAAGGGGAGAGACAGGUCGCCCAGAGAGUAGACAAUCCAGGGCUUGAGGAGGCUGGCUGUGCGGUUUAUUUUUUUCUCUCCACAAAGACACACACUGUCUAAACUGUGUGGCUGGUUGUUAUUAAGAAGCUGCUGCGAGAGGGAAAAAUGUAUUUAAUAAAAGGCCCUGUGUUUGUGGUCUUCUUGGGCUUGCUGUGAGCUCUGGAAAUCUUGAGGUGUGACCAGAUUUCAGUCUUCAAAACCAAGAUGGACUGCCCUUGAGAAGGGGUGGUCAGAGGGAAACAUGUUCACACUCUCCCUCCUGAGCCGGGGCCACGGGAAGCUGGGCCAGGACAAACAGAAGUUAGAAGUCUCCUUUGAACCAGAGGAUUACUUGAACUGGAGGUCCCAAGAAGACUAUGUUCCUGUCAGCAAGCCUCAAGAUAAGAACAAUGCCAGCCAGCACUCCUGGAGCCUCUUUCUCCCUAAAACUUUCAGCACUAGAAAGGGUGCCCUGAUCCUGUACUCAGAAGGUUUAGCCAUUUCGGCACGGACACCCAAAGAGAGGAGAAAAGGCCCCUACUGCCCCAGAGGUCCCUGGAGGAAGCUGGAUCUUGAACUGCACACACUUCAAGACCUCAAAGAAGCCAUCCUGGCAUAUGGAAGGCAACAGGGAGAGCAGGACAGAGCCUGGCAACCAUACCUCCACUUCCGAAGCCAGCUGGAGAGCCAGGCCCAACGGCAGAUCCAGCCAGGGCAUUCAGCCAAGAGAUACCUCCGAGGCCUCCUGCGGACUUGGCCCCCAGACGCCAUGUAUAGGCUCUGGUGCGCAGGGUACAUCAGGGAUUCUGUGCUGCUCCAGGACAGUCAACUUAAUGUACCAAAGAAGCUCAGGCCACAAGAAGAUCUUUCAGGUGUACCCCCAAAAUACCAUCUCCUGCCUGUCUUCCCUUCAUUUUGGAUUCAACAAGGAAAAUCUUUUGAACAAGGUCAACAGGGCCUGGAUGAAGGGGAAGCUGGAGCUGCUGGACACGUGGACCAGGGCCCUCUAGCCAAGAACCAUGGCCGUCAGGGGACUCGCUUGCCACCACGCAGGAAGCAGCCCUGGCAGGAAGAUGAAACGCAGUCAGAGGACACGUCAAUGGAGAAUCACCUUUGUUUAUAUGCUUCAAAGGAAAGCUACAAUGAAAAGACACAGCAAACCUCCAGGAAGGCCUUUGGGCAUGGCCGCAUCGAUCACUCUUGGCUCCCAAGUGACAAAUCCCACAUUACAUUCUGUGGAGGCGCCUUCCCUAAUAGGAAGGCAGAUCUCAGCGAUAAACAAAGGAACGUGAAACUCCACAAGGCCAGAAGCAGCCACUUGUUACAGGCGCUUCCUGCUGAAAGAUGCCUCUUCCCUCCUGUAGCAUCUGCCACUGGCUCUGGAAUGAUCACCCCUGGGGAAGUGAAGAAGAAAAAGGCACCAAAGGCUUUGAAAUUACCUCCUAUCUCAGAAGAACCACCCAGAGUCUUGGAGCCCCUGAAGAGCCAAUUUAAAGCCAAUGAGCCCCCAACAGAGCUCUUCAUCUUACCGGUGGAGAUUCAUUACCACACCAAACAACCCCCAAAAGAGAAAGCCCACAGAAGAGGUGCUCCACACCCUGAGUCAGAACCAGAAAGAAGCGAAGAAUCCACACCUGUGUGGAGACCUCCCCUGAAGCAUGCAUCCUUAGAAACGCCACGGGAGUUAACGGUGCAUCUCCCAGUGGACGCGAGCAGGGACACACUCUCACCUCAAGACGAUGAUGCCUCACCCCACGAUGUGGCCCCACCAUUGGAUCUUCUACCCCCGAUUAAAGGAAAAAAAAGUCCUGAGAGCCAGAAGGGCCUGGACAGCCCUAGGACAUCAGACCACAGCAGCCCCCCAAGUCUCCCAAACAUGAGAGCGCCCAGGAGGGCACUGCCAGCAGCUCAAGAUUCCAGCGACCCUACACUGGGACACUUCUUGCUGGGUCCAGAUGGAGAAAAAGUCUGCCUGUCCCUCCCAGGGUGUACCCAAACCGAGGCGCUUCCAUCGGGUAAAGCCUAUGAAUCUGUCAAUUCAAAUAUCAGCCAUGAAAAGGAAGGGCCUAGUAGUCAGCAUUUCCUAAAAGAGUCUCACUCUGUUGUGUCUGGAAUUGGUGGGUUCUUGGUCUCGCUGACUUCAAGAAUGAAGCCACAGACCUUCGUGCAAACACUGAACCUAGAGACAAUCUUCACAUGAAUCUUUAUGAAACCUCACCGUUGACCCAAACAACAGAGAAGCAGGGAGCCCAGCAGUCCUUGGAGGCAGCAACUCAGAAGACAGGAGAGCCUCAAAGUUGUAUAAAUAAAGGGCUGAUAUGUUCAAAG
rnacentral:sRNA from 1 species